UUCUGCUCCAGGUGUGCCCAGGCACCUGGCCAGCUCAAGCCGAAGCAGAGGUGUUCUCUUCAAAGCAGAGGAUUUACCCAGUAAGAUUCCUCUGCUGCUUUUCCUCAUGCCUGCAACUGCUCCUUCAAGCCCUGGUUUUGAGAUGUGGCCUUGCAGGUGAUAAUGGGCAGAGAUGUUCACUUGAAACACUUCUUCCAGAACAAACAGCAGCAGUCAAAGGUAGUAACUGAGCACUGAUGGCCUUGCUUUUGAAGGUGACAUGCUGUAUUGCAGCCUCUCAGCAGGACGUCAGCUCUUACACCGUCGGUGCGUCUGUAGCACCAGGAGCAGGCUGUUACU